rnacentral:misc_RNA from 1 species
GAUGAAGAACGUAGCAAAAUGCGAUAAGUAAUGUGAAUUGCAGAAUUCAGUGAAUCAUCGAAUCUUUGAACGCACCUUGCGCCCUUUGGCCAUUCCGAAGGGCAUGCCUGUUUGAGUAUCAUGAACACCUCAACUCUUCAUGGUUUUCCAUGAUGAGCUUGGACUUUGGGGGUCUUGCUGGCCUGUGGGUCGGCUCCUCUCAAAUGAAUCAGCUUGCCGGUUUUUGGUGGGCAUCACAGGUGUGAUAACUAUCUACGCUUGUGGUUUUCCACCAGGGUAACCUUCAGCAGUGGAGGUUCACUGGAGCUUACAAAUGUCUCUCCUCUGUGAGGACAGCCCUUUGAAUGUUUGAUCUCAAAUCAGGUAGGACUACCCGCUGAACUUAAGCAUAUCAAUAAGCGGAGGA